UGGGGAAUCUUGGACAAUGGGGGAAACCCUGAUCCAGCAAUUCUGCGUGCGGGAUGAAGGUCUAUGGAUUGUAAACCGCUUUUCUGAAGGAAGACGAAUGACGGUACUUCAGGAAUAAGCGACGGCUAACUUCGUGCCAGCAGCCGCGGUAAUACGAAGGUCGCAAGCGUUAUCCGGAGUUACUGGGCGUAAAGAGUCCGUAUUUGGUGUAGUAAGUCUGAUUUCAAAGACUCUGUCUCAAGCAGAGGAA
rnacentral:rRNA from 1 species